rnacentral:rRNA from 1 species
CACGGCGACGUGAUGCUAAUCCCCAAAACCUCUCUCAGUUCGGAUUGGAGUCUGCAACCCGACUCCAUGAAGCUGGAUUCGCUAGUAAUCGCGCAUCAGCCACGGCGCGGUGAAUACGUUCCCGGGCCUUGUACACACCGCCCGUCAAGCCAUGAAAGCCGGGGGUACCUGAAGUCCGUAACCGUAAGGAGCGGCCUAGGGUAAAACUGGUAAGUUGGGGCUAAGUCGUAACAAGGUAAC